rnacentral:rRNA from 1 species
CGUGCGAGACCACAACGAUGAUAGGUGGGGACUGUAAGCGCGACGCAGUGUAGAGCUAACACAUACUAAAUACCCGGGAGGCUGAACCAUACAACACCCA